rnacentral:rRNA from 1 species
ACUCAAAUGAAUUGACGGGGACCCGCACAAGCGGUGGAGUAUGUGGUUUAAUUCGAGGCUACGCGAAGAACCUUACCUAGGCUUGACAUGCUUGAAGUAGGCCUGAUGAAAGUUGGGCCGACCGUAUCCAAUCGGAGUCUUGCACAGGUGCUGCAUGGCUGUCGUCAGCUCGUGCUGUGAAGUGUUGGGUUAAGUCCCGCAACGAGCGCAACCAUUGCCCUUAGUUGCCAACAGGUAAAGCUGGGAACUCUAAGGGGACCGCCAGUGAUAAACUGGAGGAAGGUGGAGAUGACGUCAAGUCAGCAUGGCCCUUACGCCUAGGGCUACACACGUACUACAAUGGCCGGUACAAAGGGCCGCGAAUCCGCGAGGAGGAGCAAAUCCCAAAAAGCCGGCCCCAGUUCGGAUUGUAGGCUGCAAUUCGCCUGCAUGAAGUCGGAAUCGCUAGUAAUGGCGCAUCAGAACGGCGCCGUGAAUACGUUCCCGGGUCUUGUACACACCGCCCGU